GUAUCCAACCUGCCCACCACUUGGGGAUAACCUUGCGAAAGUAAGACUAAUACCCAAUGACGUUUCUAGAAGACAUCUGAAGGAGAUUAAAGAUUUAUCGGUGAUGGAUGGGGAUGCGUCUGAUUAGCUUGUUGGCGGGGUAACGGCCCACCAAGGCGACGAUCAGUAGGGGUUCUGAGAGGAAGGUCCCCCACAUUGGAACUGAGACACGGUCCAAACUCCUACGGGAGGCAGCAGUGAGGAAUAUUGGUCAAUGGGCGAGAGCCUGAACCAGCCAAGUAGCGUGCAGGAAGACGGCCCUAUGGGUUGUAAACUGCUUUUAUAAGGGAAUAAAGUGAGUCUCGUGAGACUUUUUGCAUGUACCUUAUGAAUAAGGACCGGCUAAUUCCGUGCCAGCAGCCGCGGUAAUACGGAAGGUCCGGGCGUUAUCCGGAUUUAUUGGGUUUAAAGGGAGCGUAGGCCGGAGAUUAAGCGUGUUGUGAAAUGUAGACGCUCAACGUCUGCACUGCAGCGCGAACUGGUUUCCUUGAGUACGCACAAAGUGGGCGGAAUUCGUGGUGUAGCGGUGAAAUGCUUAGAUAUCACGAAGAACUCCGAUUGCGAAGGCAGCUCACUGGAGCGCAACUGACGCUGAAGCUCGAAAGUGCGGGUAUCGAACAGGAUUAGAUACCCUGGUAGUCCGCACGGUAAACGAUGGAUGCCCGCUGUUGGCCUGAACAGGUCAGCGGCCAAGCGAAAGCAUUAAGCAUCCCACCUGGGGAGUA
rnacentral:rRNA from 1 species